AUCAAAUUCAGGUUGAUGAAUUUGGUAGCAGACACAUUUACCUGCUGAGCCAUCUCACUGACCUCAAACAAGGUCUUGUAAAAGCCAUUUGUUAGAGCCUUCAGGACCGAGUGCCAGCGAAUCUGCUCUGUGACAACCUGUCCCAUCGUCUCUAGACCUCUGCCUCUGAAGCUUUGAUGCUGUCAGAUGGCCUUCCUCCUCCCCAAACACUUCAUCUGUGUUGACCAGGUCCCCUGGUCCCAGAGCCAACCCAGCAGCUGGCAGGCCCAUCAGUUCACCUGGCUGGAGCCCUGCCUCCGGCUUCAGACUGUUCCCUGCAAGACUCCAUCCAGCUCCUUGAGUGAAGGUGGUCUUGACUUCUCAGACAUACUUGCCUUCUCUCCUGCCCAGCACUCUGGGCGAGCUUCUCUUCCCUCCCCCCACCCCCAGUUCUGCCAAACCUCCUGGGUCAUGCUUCUCUUGCAAUGAACACAGAAUCUAAUUUUAUUUUAAAAAAACCCAGAGCCUGCUCUUCCUUUAACUAUGCUCAUUUAAAAUUAUUAUCUCGAUGGAUCCUGUUUGGUAAGAAAGCCAGUAAGGUAUAUAAAUCUUGGGACCUCGUCUUUUCUCUUUUUAAACUCAGAAAAAUAAAGUGCGCUGCGAUGACCCAUAGCACAUUCAUCUGCACUGUAUAAACACUUCGUUUGUUUUGGGAUAGUGGCGGGUAGGACAAGGAGCUUACCAAGGCCUGGCUAACCUGGAAGUUUCUGUAAUCCCCCAGCCUCUGCCUUCCAAGAACAGGGCUUACAGGUGUGUGUCACCACAUCCAACGUAAGCUGUGGGGUUUAAAAACAGUAAAGCAUAUUCUAAAACUAAGUCAUUAUUUAUUUAUUUUUUCCAUGCUGGGACUGCCCCGGGACCUUGUGCACACUAAGCGAGCUCUCAUCUACUGAGCCACCCAUCCUCAGCCCUGAAACAGCUUCUUAGAAGCCAGAUCCCCUGGAGCCGGAGUUGCAGACAUCAGUUGUGAGUCUCCAUGUGGAAUCGAACCCAGGCCCUCUGAAAAAGCAGCCAGUGCUCUUGACUACCGAGCCACCUCUCCAGCAAUUCUUAGUGCGUGCCGUGGAAGACUCCAUCCCUCGGUCUGCCUGUGCAGUCUUCUGAGGUCCAGCUCCAGCCCGUCUUUCAGGAGUCACACAUCCCUCUGGGGUUCCUCUCAAAAGACCUCUGUAUGAAGCCCUCUCCAUAGUACACAUUGUGUCUCUCCCACCAGAACUGCUGGUGGAGUUUGAAAAUGGAUGUCAUUUUGAAUCCUUAAGAACUUGAACACCCGAGAGUCCCCUAAGAGGAUGACUAUAAGACAGAGGUGCUGAGUGACCUGGCCCAGGCUCUUCCUCUGUGCUGGCUCUCAGCCUCCAUGAUGUCAUGGUAUGUACUUUGGAGUAGAAUUCAAGGAGGCAAGGGUUUCUAUUCUUCAUUGUGCAAACUUCCUUGUAGUCUAGGAUUCCUGUAGCAUCCCUGGCCCAUGGUCCCCAAGGUCAGAGCAUAUCUCAUCUAACUAUUAGAAGUGUACUUUAACUACUCUAGGGGUCUUCUUCACUAGACAGUGCGGUCCAUUGGUUAGGGUCUUCCAGCUUAGAAGCUCUUAGAAUCCUCCCAUCAAUACACAGGGACCAUUGGAGAUCCAGAAGCAUAUGGGGGCCAGAGCACAGGACGAA